UUUCUUUGUUCAAGACUGAUAAUAACCAUUAAAUUAUUGUCAUUGUAACAAUCGGAAAACGAGGGAAAGGAAUAGAAGAAAACAAUGAACAACCCUUGCCAGUUAGUUGCACCAACCAACAAGGCACCAACCAUAGUACCAAUCAAAAGGUAAAAAGAGAGAGAGACCAAAUCCUACUAAGAAAAGCAUAACUGUUCCUUUCCAUCCAAAGGGAGAAAACAUGCAGGUUUUGCUCAUGGCUUCCACAGAAUGGUUGUGUCUGCAAUCAUGGAAGUAACCACGUAUGGGUCCAUGUUGGAAGCUGGCCUUCUGUCCUCAAAAUAUCCCUUCCCUGCUUUCUCUGUGUCUCUCCCAACCCUAACAGAAGCUCCACGGUUUGCAACUCCCUAAACAAUAAUCAAAUCAAAUAAUAUAAACACCUUAUUAUAACUUGGUCUCAAGUCUAAACAAUGAGAAAACUUGUGACAAUUUGGUACAUGAAAAUAUUCUUUUUAUUUUCAAUCUUAAUUACAAAAAAUGACGCAGAAAAUUAAGUGGUGGCUGUGUCUGGAUUGGUAGUAAAAAUCCACGUUGAGGAGAAAAUCACAGUGAGAUCAACGCAUUACUUCAGAAAAUUACGGUUGAGUUCAAGCCGCAAUGUUACCAAUCAUGGUGCAAUUAAAAGAAAGUAACAAUUUUGAAAGUUAAAAUGAAAACAAACAAAAAAAAGAAAUAUCUUCUCAAAGGGUCCCCUAAAGUUUUUGUUUAGGUACAAAGGGUCCAUAAUGUUUGGUCUCACAUGGAAAAAAUGUGUCAAGUUAAAGUUAGUUCAAAGGAACAUGGUAUGGGUUUGGUCAUUUUUAUUUUUG
rnacentral:lncRNA from 1 species